rnacentral:rRNA from 1 species
GACGAACGCUGGCGGCGUGCCUAAUACAUGCAAGUUGAGCGCUGAAGGUUGGUACUUGUACCAACUGGAUGAGCAGCGAACGGGUGAGUAACGCGUGGGGAAUCUGCCUUUGAGCGGGGGACAACAUUUGGAAACGAAUGCUAAUACCGCAUAAAAACUUUAAACACAAGUUUUAAGUUUGAAAGAUGCAAUUGCAUCACUCAAAGAUGAUCCCGCGUUCUAUUAGCUAGUUGGUGAGGUAAAGGCUCACCAAGGCGAUGAUACAUAGCCGACCUGAGAGGGUGAUCGGCCACAUUGGGAAUGAGACACGGCCCAAACUCCUACGGGAGGCAGCAGUAGGGAAUCUUCGGCAAUGGACGAAAGUCUGACCGAGCAACGCCGCGUGAGUGAAGAAGGUUUUCGGAUCGUAAAACUCUGUUGGUAGAGAAGAACGUUGGUGAGAGUGGAAAGCUCAUCAAGUGACGGUAACUACCCAGAAAGGGACGGCUAACUACGUG